GAUGAACGCUGGCGGCGUGCCUAAUACAUGCAAGUCGAGCGAACGGACGAGAAGCUUGCUUCUCUGAUGUUAGCGGCGGACGGGUGAGUAACACGUGGAUAACCUACCUAUAAGACUGGGAUAACUUCGGGAAACCGGAGCUAAUACCGGAUAAUAUUUUGAACCGCAUGGUUCAAAAGUAAAAGACGGUCUUGCUGUCACUUAUAGAUGGAUCCGCGCUGCAUUAGCUAGUUGGUAAGGUAACGGCUUACCAAGGCAACGAUGCAUAGCCUACCUGAGAGGGUGAUCGGCCACACUGGAACUGAGACACGGUCCAGACUCCUACGGGAGGCAGCAGUAGGGAAUCUUCCGCAAUGGGCGAAAGCCUGACGGAGCAACGCCGCGUGAGUGAUGAAGGUCUUCGGAUCGUAAAACUCUGUUAUUAGGGAAGAACAUAUGUGUAAGUAACUGUGCACAUCUUGACGGUACCUAAUCAGAAAGCCACGGCUAACUACGUG
rnacentral:rRNA from 1 species